UACGAAGGGGGCUAGCGUUGCUCGGAAUUACUGGGCGUAAAGCGCACGUAGGCGGCUCUUUAAGUCGGGGGUGAAAUCCUGGAGCUCAACUCCAGAACUGCCUUCGAUACUGAAGAGCUCGAGUCCGGGAGAGGUGAGUGGAACUGCGAGUGUAGAGGUGAAAUUCGUAGAUAUUCGCAAGAACACCAGUGGCGAAGGCGGCUCACUGGACCGGUACUGACGCUGAGGUGCGAAAGCGUGGGGAGCAAACAGG
rnacentral:rRNA from 1 species